rnacentral:rRNA from 1 species
UACGUAGGGGCCUAGCGUUGUCCGGAAUUAUUGGGCGUAAAGAGCUCGUAGGCGGUUCGGCAAGUCGGAUGUGAAAUCUCCACGCUUAACGUGGAGGGGCCAUUCGAAACUGCUGUGACUCGAGUCCGGUAGGGGAGUGUGGAAUUCCCGGUGUAGCGGUGAAAUGCGCAGAUAUCAGGAGGAACACCAGCGGCGAAGGCGGCGCUCUGGGCCGGUACUGACGCUGAGGAGCGAAAGCGUGGGGAGCAAACAGG